CAGUCGCCGCGGUAAUACGAAGGGUGCAAACGUUGCUCGGAAUUAUUGGGCGUAAAGCGCACGUAGGCGGCUCCGCAAGUCGGAUGUGAAAUCCCUCGGCUUAACCAAGGAUGUGCAUCCGAAACUGCAGAGCUUGAGUACUUAAGAGGAUCGCGGAAUUCCCGGUGUAGAGGUGAAAUUCGUAGAUAUCGGGAGGAACACCAGUGGCGAAGGCGGCGAUCUGGGAAGAUACUGACGCUGAGGUGCGAAAGCGUGGGGAGUAAACAGGAUUAGAUACCCCAGUAGUCCCUGUCUCUUAUAC
rnacentral:rRNA from 1 species